CGCGGCCUAUCAGCUUGUUGGUGAGGUAAUGGCUCACCAAGGCUAUGACGGGUAGCUGGUCUGAGAGGAUGGUCAGCCACACUGGGACUGAAACACUGCCCCUACACCUACGGGUGGCUGCAGUCGAGAAUCUUUCGCAAUGGGGGAAACCCUGACGAAGCGACGCCGCGUGUAGGAUGACGGCCUUCGGAUUGUAAACUACUGUCACCAGGGAAGAAAAAGUCUGCCGAUAAUAACUGCAGGCCUUGACGGUACCUGCAGAGGAAGCCACGGCUAAGUCUGUGCCAUCAGCCUCGGUAAUACAGAGGUGGCGAGCGUUGUUCCGAUUCAUUGGUUGUAAAGGGGCCGUAGGCGGCUCGGAAAGUCGGAUGUGAAAUCCCACAACUCAACUGUGGAACUGCAUUCCAAACUCCCGAGCUAGAGUGCGAAAGGGGUGAAGGGAAUUCCCGGUGUAAGGGUGAAAUCUGCAGAGAUCGGGAGGAGCACCAGUCUCAAAGGCGCUUCACUGGUUCGCAACUGACACUGAAGGACCAAGGCUACGGUAGCAAACAGGAUUAAAUACCCCGGCAGUCCUAUCCGUAAAUGAUGGACACUAGGUGUUGGCGGGUUAAACCCUUCGGUGCCACACCUUACGCAUUACCUGCCCCGCCUGCUCAGUACGG
rnacentral:rRNA from 1 species